rnacentral:lncRNA from 1 species
CAGAAACUAUGAGGAGACUUUUGCAAAAAUAAAUAGGCUGGUGGACCAUAAAUCCUAAAGUUGAUUUAUUUUUAGAUGAAUUUUUUGAGUUAGGAAUCUACUCCAUUUAAGAGAGAGUAACGCUUCCCUUCUUUUUUUAGGACGCUUCCCCAUUUCAGUGGAACUUUGGAUAAUUACUUCGCGCGUGUAUGAAUACAUGCAGUCGGCAACGGUGUGCUUUAUUUCAAUGAAAGUUGACAUUUACUACACGCAUCUUGGUAUUUGUAGUAUCUUUUCAAAUGUCUUAGGUUAAUUUCAAUGAAAGUUAAAGAACGAAAAUUUUAAAUAUAUUAAAAAAUAUUUUAUAUUCAAAAUAUAUUAUUGUGAGAAUAUAUUAUUUAUGUUCAAAAUAAUAUAUUUUUUAUUUUAUGAAAUCAUGAAAACGUUAAAACAAUAUGUGACAUUGCUUCAAAUCUAAAAUAGACAAACUGAACUGUGUAUUUAAUCAUUUUUUGUUAGGGGUAAAAUAGUCAUUUUGUUUUCACUUAACAUCAUUAAGUGCCUAAGCUAACGAAAAUUUAGCUUUUAGGCCUCAUAGGUAAGUUCAAAGAAAAACAGCAUAGCAUGAUGCAUUGAAAUGUACGUUCGGUUAACUAGUAGUACGUCAUCUUUGAUGAGUUGAGGAAAAAAUUGUUCAGUACAUGAAAAAUUCUAGUUUUGGCUACUAUAACACUUUUGGUUAUAUUUGGUAAUUAUUGUCCAAUCAUAGAAGCUCAAAAAAUUCGUCUCAUAAAUUACAAGUAAACUAUAUAUUUAGUUAUUUUUUUAUCUAUAUUAAUGCAUUAGUUAUUUUUUAAUGUAUAUUUAAUGCUUUAUGCAUGCAUCCAAAGAUUCAAUAUGACGGGGAACCUUUAAAUUUUCUGGAAACUGAACAAGUCCUUAUAAUGGGCAGUGCAAGAAGAAAUAACCAAGCCUCUAGAUAAUGUGCUCAAGUUAAAUUACUCGAUGUUGAUGGAUCCUUUCGGCUAAAUGAGAAGGCCAGGAGCUGGGGCUUCCAACGUGAUAGUGAUGGACCAUUUGGGCCGGUUUGAUGUAAGCACUAUUGGUCCAUGGGCUGGACUGCAGGUUACUAGCUAGUUGGGCUUUGUACUAAGAAAUUGAUGAACAAUGUUCACGAGCCCAGGCCCAGGUUUGCAGAAUCUUCCUUUUUGCUUUCUCCCAUUCCACGGCCCAUGGCGACUGUAGUCAGGCAGUCAUAUAGGUCAGUUUCCUCCUACAAUAAUACUAUACUUACACAUAUACUAUUUGAGACUUAUAUAUAUAGAAAAAAUGGAGAAAAAACUAGACAUGAAUGAGGAAAUUUGUACAAGUAAAAAAUGCACGUACUGGAUAGGUACCACAUUUUUUUUCAUUUCUGGAUCGGAGCAUAUAUAUAUGUAUGUACAACAUUUCAGUGCAGGCCACUAUUUAUACUUUGGUAGCAGGGCUCAAAGAGCUAACAGUUCAAUGAUAACCAACACAUGUAUGAAUUGGAGAGAUGAAAGUAAGUUGUACAUGAAUACGUAGUACAAUAAGUUGGAAGGUGAAAUAUAUGUAUAUGAUCAUUAUAUAUCAAAUUCAAAUAAUGUUGUAUAUACAUAUACCACAAAUCAAUAUAUCAAAUUCGAAUAAUGCCUCACAUUAUGUUGGAGCAGGUUGAAAUUCAUAUCAAACUGACCAUACAUACAACGCCUCACAUGACUUGAUCGACGACUAUUCUAACUUGUUCUCACUGAAUGCGUAUUUUUAUAUUAUGCCAACCAAGUCUAGCCAACCACGACGUACGACUGUAGGCAGUCAUAUAUAGAAAAAAAGGGAGAAAAACCUAGACAUUAAAACGCACUGGAUAGGUACCAUAUUUUUCAUUUCUGGAUCGGAGCAUGUAUAUAUGUACAACAUUUCACUGCAGGCCACUAUUUACACUAGGUAGCGCGCAGGGCUCAAAGAGCACUCCGAUGAUAACCAACGUAUGGGAGAGAUGAAUGUAAGUUGUACAUGGGUUGUACUAUAAGUUGAAGGUCAAAUAUGUAUAUGAUCAAUAUAUGUAUCAAAUUCAAAUAAUGUUGAUAUAACACAAAUAUCUAUACAUUGACAAAAAAACAUAAUCAUAUCGACAUGACAAGGUUUUUUAAUUCACAAAAAAAUAUAUGUCAAAAAUAUUGAACUAGUUAUAGAGGCAAGUAGGCAACAGGCAUGGAUUAGGAUUAUAAAUAUUAUGACUUAUAUAUGAGAAGCUAAAAUAGUAGCUUCUACCAUUUUGGCAUUUUGGGGGUACCUACGACACAGAAAGCCAAAUUAACAGGGGAUACAAUGUAUACUCAAAGUUUGUAAUCAUAUAUUCCGAUUGAAUAAAGAAUACAAUUAAUUCAAUGACGAGAUCACGAGAAUUAAAUACAAAAAUGGAGUGGUUAGUUUGAGUUUGAAUCUUUAGGGAUGUAAACAAAUAAUUAAAACAUAAGAUGAUCGACUAAUGUGAACAAUGAGAAAUAGUAGAUGAUCGAAUUUAUCAAAUGAGAGAUAUAUGAGGGCCCAUAGAAGGCCUCAAUGCAAAUGACCUGACUGGUAUGCUUAUUAUUCUCACUGAAUGACUGGAUGCACAUUUUUAUGUACUAGUGUGGACUGUAGACAAACAUAAGACUGCAGGCAGUCAUAUACAGAUCAGCUUCCUUACAGAGAGUAAAUUGUACAUGAGUAGUAAUAAACAUCGAAGGUCAAAUAUGCAUAUAUAUGAUCAAUACAUAAUAAUUAAAUUCAAAUAAUUGUGUUUAUACAUUUAUAUAUAAUCAUAUCAACAUAAUAACAUCCUCAAUGACAAUGUUUUUUAAUUAACAAAAACUAAGAUUUAUAUGUUAAAAACAUUAAACUAUAGGCAGGCAUGCAUCAGACAUUGCUAUGAGAAGCUCAGAUAGGUCCUAGUAUAUAUACCAUUUUGGGGGCACAGGACAUCUGCAGCCGACUGAAAUGAAAGCCUAACUGACAGGGAUCCAAAUAUACACUCAACUUUGUAAUUAAUCUGAUUGAAUGGACUACAAUCAUCAAUAGUUCUGUAUGUGAUGAAUGAAAUAUAACGAAAUGGAGUGGUUAGUUUGAGUUUGGAUAUUAAUCUUAGGGCUGUCAAAAAUUGAAACAUGUGGUCGCAUCUAGCUAGCCGUGCGCGCGAGUGCACGAAACGGCCGGCGAUGAUACUGCACUAAUUAAUGUGAGCAAUGAGAAAUGCUAGACAUAUCGAUCAAAUAUAUGUGUGUGUGUGUGUGUGUGUGUGUGAGAGAGAGAGAGAGAGAGAGAGAGAGAGAGAGAGAGAGAGAGAGAGAGAGCGAGAGAGAGAGAUGUAUGAGGGCCAUGCUUGGCACCUCGCACGCCAGCCGCAGCGGCCACCGAGAUCGAUCGAUGAUCUUGGGGUGGUAGCCGUGCGAGUGGCAUACAGGGAGCCAGGCAUAUUCCCUAGCUUUCACCUCUUCCUCCACCUCCAUGUCCUGUGCCGCGCGCCAUUGCUUGCUUGCUUAUACACCUUCCAAUAAUGUGCCAUGGCAUACAAGCGCCCUCAUAUUCUUUGUUUCCUCUAGCUCCCCUUGCAAGCUCAUAUGGCGCACACACGCAUAUCUGAACUAGAACUACACACGGCGAGGGAGAGAUCGAAUAAUGGAAAAUGGAGACUAGCUAGCUCGCUUAGAGGAAGACGAUGAAGCUUGUUGAGGCUGUUGAGUGAUGGUGUUGUUUGGCAAGAAGUUGCAUAUAUAUAUAUAGCUCCCGGCCCCAGGGUGGAGGUGAGGUCCCCCAACAUGCAUGCAUACCCUGC